UCAGGUUGAAAAUUUCUAUUUGAAGUUGGAUCAAAGAAAAAUAUGAAGGGAGAGAUGAUGAUAAAGAAUGAAAACAGGACCCUCCUUCAACCACUGAAAUGGGAACACUGUGCUUUCUCUGAGCAGCAGUUAAAGCCCUGCAGAUGCUCCAGAAGGGGAACCUGCAGAUGCUCCAGAAGGGGAACCUGCAGAUGCUCCAGAAUGGGAACCUGCAGAUGCUUCAGAAGGGGAACCUGCAGUUGCUCCAGAAGGGGAACCUGCAGAUGCUCCAGAAGGGGAACCUGAAGAUGCUUCAGAAGGGGAACCUACAGAUGCUCCAGAAGGGGAAGUCUUUGUUUCCCAGGACUCACUCACAGCUUUGCCCACUGAAUUCUCCAGAAGGGGCAUUUAUGAGCUCUGAGGAAAGCUGAAUCCAGGCAGUUACCCAGACUAUGACUGUCUUAGUGUGCUCAAGCUGCUGUCACAAAACUCCAUGUACUGAGUGGCUCACAGUUCUGGAGGCUGGAAAGUCCAAGAGCAAACAGCAGAUCUGGUGUCUGGUGAGGGCUACUUCCUGGUUUGUGCAUGGUCUUCUCAUUGUAUCCUCACAUGGCAGAGAACAGAGAGAGGAAAAACCCUCACAUUUCUUAUAAGAUCACUCAUCCCAUCACAAGGGCCCCACCCUUAUGACCUAAUGAUCUCCCAAGGCCCCAUCUCCAAAUACCAGCAGCUUUGGAGUCAGGGUUGCAACAUAUGAAAUUUGGGGCACAAAAACAUUCAGUCUAUAGCAAUGACUGAGUCUUUUUCUAACAGUGGCAGUAGUCUUUUUUUUUACACAGCUAAUUUUGUGCUUGUUUUUCAGUUCUUUACACAUUAAUAGCAUAUCGUUUAGAAAUUCAUAUAUAUAUUUAAAGACCUUGAUAUGCCACCCUUUGAGUUACAACUGGGACAGUUGGGAGAGGGGAAAGUGUUCGAGUGGGAUGAAGAGCUAGGAGAGGCUCCAUGGCCGGAGGCCUGGUCCACUUCGUUUUUGUACCGGAAGGGCUCAUCGCCAGUUUAAUUGAGAAGAUAUGUGCAGAUGAGGACUUCUGUCACCAGAAAUUAGUAUGUUGGAGUUAACACUAAAAAGAAAAACAAAGGAACAAGUGAUUCUCCUGAUGGAGGAUGGAAAGGAAAGGUGUCACGGAGUACUUCUAAGAUAAUGGUAAAGAUCUAUCUGAGGCUGGGCAUGGGGGCUCAUACCUGUAAUCUUGGCACUUGGGAAGCCAAGGGGGGCAGGCCAGGAGCUUGAGACCAGACUGGCCAAUAUGGUAAAGCCCCCUCUCUACAAAAAAUAAAAAAUUAGCCUGGCACAGUGGUGCACACCUGUAACCCCAGCUACUCAGAAGGCUGAGGCAUAAGAAUUGCUUGAACCUGGAAGGCAGAGGUUGCAGUGAGCCAAGAUUGCGCCACUGUACUACAGCCUGGGCGACAGAAUGAGACUCUGUCUCAAGCAAACAAAAAACAAACAAAACAAGAAAGAUGUACUUUAGAUGGCAAUUCACAGUUCAUCUUAUUCAAUAAAUUGUACAAUAUGUUUAUAUAUUUUUGUGUAUGUAUAAUACAUUUCAUAACUUAAAACAGACUUUAACCUCAUCUGAUAGACUUAUCUCUUGUACCUUGAUGUCAAGAAAAUUUAGGGAUAGAAAGACUACGGCCAGGCGUGGUGGCUCAGGCCUAUACUCCCGUUUGGGACGCCGAGGCGGGUGGAUCACCUGAGGUCAGGAGUUCGAGGCCAGCCUGGGCAACAUGAUGAAACCCCAUCUCUACUCAAAAUACAAAAAUUUGACAGGCAUGGUGGUGGGUACCUGUAAUCGCAGCUACUCGGGAGGCUGAGGCACAAGAAUUGCUUGAACCAGGGAGGCGGAGGUUGCAAUGAGCUGAGAUUGCACCACUGCACUACAGCCUGGGAGAAAGAGCAAGACCCUGUCUCCAAAAAAAAAGAAUAAAGCAUGGCAAAGUACAAUCUGAAUCUGGAACUUUGCUCUUAGCCCCACUAAUGAACUUUGGUCCUGCAAAUAAUACAGAACAGAGUUGACUGCACUGCACCUAGAUAAAGAGGCAAUGAUUGCUUCACAAUCCUUUAAUUAAAACUGCUUUUGUAUUUUUCAUUUUGUAAAUUAUACUUAUUUCUAUCAAAUUUUCUUUUGUGUUCCCUUUCCCAUAUUCUUUCUGUCAUGUGACUUGGAAAUAUUAGAAAUCCAUGACUCCUCCCCACCUCAAUGGUCAGUGAGUGUCUUAUUCUUCUUGACUGUAUAUCUAAAAUAGCUCUGUCAUCACCCUUCUGUUUCCAAAACUCUGCCCUGGUGCUGGUGCAGGCCCUCCUGAGAAUCUCUUGCUAGCUAAGACAUCAUGUCCAAGCAGGCCUCCCGGACUCCGGUCUUGACCUUCUUCAAUCUGUCUUCAAUAUCACCACCAGAAUUCAGCUUCUAAAGUGUAGGUUUCUUUUAUCAUGGCAAAAUAUACUUAUCAUAAAAUUUGCCAUUUUAGGCCAGGCACAGUGGUUCAUGCCUGUAAUCCUAACACUUUGGGAAGAUAAGGGAAGAGGAUCGCUUAAGUCCAGGAGUUCAAGAC
rnacentral:lncRNA from 1 species